CUUACUCGCAGCCCUUCUGCUUCCUGCUGCCGUGAGAAGAAAGUGUCUUGCUUUGGUUUCCUGCCGUGAUUGUAAGCUUCUUGAGGCCUCCCCAGCCAUGCUAACUUAGAGACAGGGUUUCACCGUGGUCUCCAUCUCCUGACCUCGUGAUCUGCCCGCCUCGGCCUCCCAAAGUGCUGGGAUUACAAGCGUGAGCCACCGCACCCGGCCUCUAAAGAGAUGUCCUCUGCUAAGCCAGGAGCAGCUAUGGCAGAAUCCAGCUCCUGAACUACUGCCAAGAAACCUGAGGGGAUCCACCAGCUGCUGACAGCAUGCCGCAUACCCAGCUCCUGUGAAACCACUCCCUGUGCUCCUCUGCUUGUGAUGUGUCCAGCACCUGCCAUACAAUCAACCUCUGCCCUUUUCGUCCUAAGUCUUUACUUCCUUCCACCAAGCAAUCUGCGAUCAAUGUUUUGGACUACAUG